UCUUCACACCUAAUCGGUAAGAGGCGUUCACCUUUACCUGUGAAAAAUUGGUUAUGAAGUGUAUUGUUCCUGCAUUCCUCAAGAUUCAAGAUGUAACAGAAAUUCCAGAUAGCUUAGAGACUACAUUCUCAGAAGUCUUGUGAAAAGAAGAUUAAAUCUGUAAGUUGGAUCACUGGGAAUGAGAUGAACAAGUAGUACGGGUAUGUAACAGCAUAUGUUUGGAGGACUUUGUUGGUAUUCCGGAAUGCAAAUUGUAAGGAGUUACAACAUCUUGAACAUUUCCACAAUCAGUGGGGGACAAUUCAGAAUGGUGCCCACAACCAGUAUCAUACAUCAAACAGAUACCAAUGGCCGACAUUGAAAAAUUGAUGAUUAUUUUAAAAAAGAAGAACUAGUGGGAGGGCAGUUAAUAUGUAACCAGUGUUCCUGGAUUUUGUACCAGUUCUGACCGGUUUCUAUGCAAGUAACUGUCAACUUCUCCACUUGAAUCAUUUGAAAAGAAAUGGUAUAAGACAUUGCUGUGUUCAACUAACUAAAUUGUGAUUGGAAAUCAUCUGCCUUACACCAAAGACUCAACCUUGUGCAUCAGUGAUCUAUAAUGCUAACAGUUUUGGCUGCAGGCAUUGCAAGAUAUUUCAAAUCAUCAUUUAGUAACCAAUCAGCAAGCUGCAACCAGUCAAACAAUCAACCAACCAACACAAACUAGCUUAUAAUAGACAAACAACAACAGAUAACCACCCACAACCAACCAACCAAAGCCAAUUACCAACCAGCCAAAGACAACUUAUUAAAUAAACCACAAUCAUGCAACCAACGUUUGCACCACCAGCAAACCACCAAUCAAUCAGCCAGCUAAUCAACCAACCUACCAACCAACCAACAAAUUAAAACCAACCAGUCAACAAACCAAUCAAAUAGCAGCCUUGUUCAAUUAACUUUUACUGCAAAUGUCAUCUUUACAAAAUGACUUGCUAAAACACCUGUUAGCUCAAAAGGAAGAGUGUUGGACUGUGAAUCAGGUCACCAGGGUUCCAUUCCUGGACGGUGCAGGUCACUCUUGUUGUGAUCGAUCAUGAAAACCUGCUAUGGUCAUUCACACUGUACCCCUGCUCUGGUAUGUACAAAGGUUUUAGUUCCUUGCAAAAGUGUAGGCUACUAGUACUGGUAAACUGUUGGACAGCCUGCCUAGGAAUAAUGCAGUGACUAAACUGUGCUCUGGUAAAUUCAAUGUGGCUUGCUGCCGUGAUUCGGAGUGAAAACUACCAACACAACCACGAAAUUCUGAUGAAAGACGUGCAUCAAUGUUGGGAUCUUGAUGUUAGAAAGAUGGUGGGUAAACUGCUAAACCUGUACCAAUUACUCAUUUAAGAACAUAUACUUUCAUCUUGAAAUCUCAGACAAGAUGUACUAGCUACUAUGUGUUAUGAACUGAUCAUGAUAUAAAAGAUGUGAUUAAAAUUAACUUUGAAAUUCUAUCUUUUUUCAUGAAUUCUAGAAAGUAAUGUGAAUAUUUAGUGUAUAAAAACUAUAAGGCUUAAGUUUUUGUAAAGAUAUUGUUACAUAUUAAGUGAUGCUCAGAUACAAUCAUAGCAAUAAGUGGUUUUGCAAAUAUUGCCUGGAGAUAACAUUACAAGAAUGAAAACAAACUAUUUCUUAAACAAAAAAGAAAACAAACUAUUUCUUAAACCAAAAAAAAUGUUACAAUUUGUAUAAAUUGGGUUCGAAAACAUCUUCACAUAAAUGUUGCUUUAACAUAAAAUGGAGACUAACAUCCCAUAUGUAAAUAUUAUUUUAAUCCGUCAAUAAGUCACAAAAUCAACAAAAUUAACUGCUCAGACCAUGGGAACAAUACCCUACUGAUAGCCCCAUUUUUCACCAAAGAUCAAUAUUGACAUAUUUUAUAUUUGAAGAUAACACUUACAAGUGAUAGACCACAUUCAAAUCUUAAAGAGUAACUCGGCCGAGCUAAAGUCUUUGUUUAAACAGUAGAUCUCAACUGAUAACAACUUUUAGGAAAAAUUCAAAUUUGGUAAGAAAUUCCCAAAACAAACAGAGGGUUUGUUUGCAUACUGUACUCUGGAGACAUACCUAAGGAUACACUCUAUUUGUUAAAGAGAUAUUGUAUGCCCUUGGGUGAAGGCUUAAUUACAGUAAAAGUACUAGUGCUUCUG